GACGAACGCUGGCGGCGUGCUUAACACAUGCAAGUCGAACGAAGUGGCGAACGGGUGAGUAAUACGUGGGUAACCUGCCCUCCUUUUUGGGAUAAGCCUUUGAAACGGGGUCUAAUCCCGAAUAAAGGGGGAUGGGCUCGCGGCCUAUCAGCUUGGUGGUGGGGUGAUGGCCUACCAAGGCGGUGACGGGUAGCCGGCAUGAGAGGGGGACCGGACACAUUGGGAGUGAGAUAAGGCCCAGACUUCGACGGGAGGCAGCAGUGGGGGAGUUGGGACAAUGGGGGAAAGGCCGAUGCAGGGAAGCCGGGUGGGGGAUGAAGGCUUUAGGGUUGUAAAACUCUUUCGAUAUUGAACGGGUAGGUGGAGAAGAAGCGCCGGCUAACUACGUGCCAGCAGCCGCGGUAAUAC
rnacentral:rRNA from 1 species